GAAAGCCUAAAACCGAAAAUUUAUUCCCUCGUAGCUGCCGAUGUUCUCCAGACUCUGUUCACUGGCGCGAAACUUGGGAUUCAUUCCGCCGCCCAAGUCCACCGCGAACUCGCCGCCGGCGUCCUAGUCUGCUCAUCCAUUUUCACUGUUGUCCUUCCCUUACACGAAAAAUGGUCUACAGAUCCAUGGCAGCAGGUCUCAAUCCCAAUCCCAACAGUCUUUAUCUCAACAUCAUCUGGAUCAUACGCACUGGAACAGAUAUUACAGGUACUUCUGGAUCAUUUCUACGACUAGUUUGUCACAACUCAUAGUGUAUUAACUGUGUAAAUGAUGAUCAAAUGAUGACUUUGAGGUUAGUUAUUUUACUAUCCUUUCUCUGAGGAUUUUGAGAAUGAAAACAAAAAUGAAACUGUUUGUAAAGACCAAAAUGAAAAAGAUUAACUUUAUACAGUAUACAUACAACUAA